UACGUAGGUGCAAGCGUUGUCCGGAAUUAUUGGGCGUAAAGAGCUCGUAGGCGGUUUGUCGCGUCUGCUGUGAAAACUGGAGGCUCAACCUCCAGCCUGCAGUGGGUACGGGCAGACUAGAGUGCGGUAGGGGAGAUUGGAAUUCCUGGUGUAGCGGUGGAAUGCGCAGAUAUCAGGAGGAACACCGAUGGCGAAGGCAGAUCUCUGGGCCGUAACUGACGCUGAGGAGCGAAAGCAUGGGGAGCGAACAGG
rnacentral:rRNA from 1 species